CGAGAGGACCGUGUUGGACGAACCGCUGGUUUAUCGGUUAUGCCGCCAGGCGUAUUGCCGAGUAGCUACGUUCGGUUGAGAUAAGUGCUGAAAGCAUCUAAGUACGAAGCUUGCCUCAAGAUUAGAUCUCAUUAUAAGGGUGGUUAUAGACGAUGACCUUGAUAGGCUACAGGUGUAAAGGCGGUGACGUCAUAGCCGAGUAGUACUAAUUGCCCGAAAGUUUUUGCCUG
rnacentral:rRNA from 1 species